AUUGAACGCUGGCGGCAGGCUUAACACAUGCAAGUCGAGCGGAGAUGAGGUGCUUGCACCUUAUCUUAGCGGCGGACGGGUGAGUAAUGCUUAGGAAUCUGCCUAUUAGUGGGGGACAACAUUCCGAAAGGAAUGCUAAUACCGCAUACGCCCUACGGGGGAAAGCAGGGGAUCUUCGGACCUUGCGCUAAUAGAUGAGCCUAAGUCGGAUUAGCUAGUUGGUGGGGUAAAGGCCUACCAAGGCGACGAUCUGUAGCGGGUCUGAGAGGAUGAUCCGCCACACUGGGACUGAGACACGGCCCAGACUCCUACGGGAGGCAGCAGUGGGGAAUAUUGGACAAUGGGCGGAAGCCUGAUCCAGCCAUGCCGCGUGUGUGAAGAAGGCCUUUUGGUUGUAAAGCACUUUAAGCGAGGAGGAAGGGUGUUGUGUUAAUAGCACAGCAUUUUGACGUCACCUACAGAAGAAGCACCGGCUAACUCUGUGCCAGCCGCCGCCGUAACAC
rnacentral:rRNA from 1 species